UACCUGGUUGAUCCUGCCAGUAGUCAUAUGCUUGUCUCAAAGUUAAGCCAUGGAACUAAUUCUGACUGAAAUA
rnacentral:rRNA from 1 species